rnacentral:tRNA from 1 species
GGUUGUGCCUCAGUGGUAAGGCGCUCAUCUAGCACAUGCGAGGCCCUGGGUUCAAUCCUCAGCGCACCA